rnacentral:rRNA from 1 species
UACAGAGGUCCCGAGCGUUGUUCGGAUUCACUGGGCGUAAAGGGUGCGCAGGUGGGUUUGCAAGUUUGAUGUGAAAGCCCCGGGCUUAACCCGGGAAUGGCAUUGAAUACUGCAGAUCUGGAGGAUUGGAGGGGGGACUGGAAUUCUUGGUGUAGCAGUGAAAUGCGUAGAUAUCGAGAGGAACACCUGCGGCGAAGGCGGGUUGCUGGGCUGACACUGACGCUGAAGUGCGAAAGCUAGGGGAGCGAACGGG